CACCAAUCAAGCCCGGCUUGGUAUUGGACCACGGGGGCGACCCGGGUCCUAAAGUCUGUCGGCUGGAAAGCUCUGAUCUCAGCGUCGUGGUUAAUCAAUUCGCCGACGAGAGGAGUGAUCCACGCCGUGAAGUUCACUACAGG
rnacentral:misc_RNA from 1 species